AUAUUUAUAGUAUAAUCAAAUACAUUUAAUUUCCAAUUAAAAAAUUUAAAAUAAAUUAAUAAAUAUA
rnacentral:tRNA from 1 species